rnacentral:rRNA from 1 species
GAUGAACGCUGGCGGCGUGCCUAAUACAUGCAAGUCGAGCGAACGGACGAGAAGCUUGCUUCUCUGAUGUUAGCGGCGGACGGGUGAGUAACACGUGGAUAACCUACCUAUAAGACUGGGAUAACUUCGGGAAACCGGAGCUAAUACCGGAUGAUAUUUUGAACCGCAUGGUUCAAAAGUGAAAGACGGUCUUGCUGUCACUUAUAGAUGGAUCCGCGCUGCAUUAGCUAGUUGGUAAGGUAACGGCUUACCAAGGCAACGAUGCAUAGCCGACCUGAGAGGAUGAUCAGCCACACUGGAACUGAGACACGGUCCAGACUCCUACGGGAGGCAGCAGUAGGGAAUCUUCCGCAAUGGGCGAAAGCCUGACGGAGCAACGCCGCGUGAGUGAUGAAGGUCUUCGGAUCGUAAAACACUGUUAUUAGGGAAGAACAUAUGUGUAAGUAACUGUGCACAUCUUGACGGUACCAAAUCAGAAAGCCACGGCUAACUACGUG